UGAGGCACCAAGAGAGGGAAACCAAAAGGGCGAGACGAGUGGGCUUUACAGUUAAAUCUGUGUUAAAAUGUCAGCCCCUUUAACAGCUGGGUGAACCUCAGUUUCCUCAUCAAUAACACUGGGAUAAUCAUACCCCACAAAGCCUAAGGAAUAAGGAAAUCCCUGAAAUGAAGCCUUCAUUACAAAUCCUGGCACUCAGAGGGGGAAGAGUGUUUUGAGAACUGGAAGUAAGAAAUUUCAGAGGAAUUGAGAAAUCAAAUGCUUUGGCCUUCACCUAAAGGGACAUGAAGGCCACUCAGACGGGGCAGGUCUCCCUCCAGGGAUCUCUCUCUCUCUUUUUUUUUUAAACAAGUAUUCAUAUUUUUAUUCCACUCUAACACCUCGGAGUAAAGAACUGAUGGGCAGGCAUCGGCUUCUGCUGACAAGUGCCAACCAGAAUGAGACUGCUGAGUUCAGGUGCACUCCGCGGUUACUGGACCUGCAGGCCCAGUGGCCUCUGGUAAGAUGCUGCAACGUGAGACCCUUGAGAGACAUUGACUUGCUGAAGAUGAACAGAAAACCGAGAGCCUCCAGUCCAGCUGUCGAAGAGCAACCACCAGCCGCCACCAAGGGGACCAGGGAAGAAGAACAUCCUCCUCUCAACCGAUGUCCGGAAGCCCAAGGAAGAGUCCCAAGGUAGUGAAGAAGAGACAAUCAACUCGAGGGAGAGCCAGGAAG